GCAACAGUCUGUUUCAUUAGUAAAGAAUCAUCAGGCGGUAUGACAAGUUUCAAAACUUGUCAUGCCGCCUGAUGAUUUUUUACUGAUGAAACAGACUGUUGUGGAAUUU
rnacentral:miRNA from 1 species